rnacentral:rRNA from 1 species
UACGUAGGGUGCGAGCGUUAAUCGGAAUUACUGGGCGUAAAGGGUGCGCAGGCGGUUUUGUAAGCCAGAUGUGAAAUCCCCGGGCUUAACCUGGGAAUGGCAUUUGGGACUGCAAGGCUUGAGUGCGGCAGAGGAGACUGGAAUUCCUGGUGUAGCAGUGAAAUGCGUAGAUAUCAGGAGGAAUACCGAUGGCGAAGGCAGGUCUCUGGGCUGACACUGACGCUCAUGCACGAAAGCGUGGGGAGCAAAC